UAAUACGGAGGAUCCAAGCGUUAUCCGGAAUUAUUGGGUUUAAGGGGUCCGCAGGCUGUUUGUUAAGUCAGGGGUGAAAUCCUACCGCUCAACGGUAGAACUGCCUUUGAUACUGGCAAACUUGAGUUAUUGUGAAGUAGUUAGAAUGUGUAGUGUAGCGGUGAAAUGCAUAGAUAUUACACAGAAUACCAAUUGCGAAGGCAGAUUACUAACAAUUAACUGACGCUGAGGGACGAAAGCGUGGGUAGCGAACAGGAUUAGAUACCCUGGUAGUCCACGCCGUAAACGAUGGUCACUAGCUGUUCGAUGUACAUUGGUACAUUGAGUGGCUAAGCGAAAGUGAUAAGUGACCCACCUGGGGAGUACGCUCGCAAGA
rnacentral:rRNA from 1 species